rnacentral:rRNA from 1 species
UACGUAGGUGGCAAGCGUUGUCCGGAUUUACCGGGCGUAAAGCGCCCGCAGGCGGCUUGGCAAGUUUGGGGUGAAAUCUCCCGGCUCAACUGGGAGGGUGCCUCGAAAACUGCCAGGCUUGAGGCAUGGAGAGGGAUGCGGAAUUCCCGGUGUAGUGGUGAAAUGCGUAGAUAUCGGGAGGAACACCAGUGGCGAAGGCGGCAUCCUGGCCAUGUCCUGACGCUCAGGGGCGAAAGCGUGGGGAGCAAACCGG